UCCACGAUUCUGAGAGGGAAAUCCCCAAUUUUUUCCCUUCAAAAACUCCCCCAAUAUUUGCACUUAUCAGGUUAUGGAAACUGCAAUUGGGUUUAAUUUUUUUCCCUCAAUCAGUCUGUCUCUCUCCUUCUACGUUACUCAUUUAUUCCCAAAAUUAUUCAAAGAAAGCACGAAAAUUCACUCCGAGCAGGCGGCGCCGAUAGAUCAACUCACGCAUUGAAAUUCAGGGGCAUGGCAAAGCGAUUGAGGCCCUGUGCAAUUAGCAGAGGCCCUGUGAGUCAGGGUGAAGAGCUUCAUGGUGAAUUCAGUCAGGGUGAAGAGCUUCAUGGUGAAUUCAGUCAGGAUCCUCGCCUAGAAGUAUCCGCUGUUUUGGCAGAACCGAUGCUGCAACUUGAAAGCCACAGGCUGAUUCUUCAAAAGGUAAUGGAAGGACCAAAGCAAAGUAUUCAGGAAUAAGUUGGGAGUUUUUUGCUGCCGGAAAAGUUUCUUCAUCGUCUCCCACACCUGAUCUUCCGGAGAUUGCAUUUGCUGGUCUGUGCUAUUCUCUUUGCAGGAGGUGAUACAGUUGCUAAUAUGUACCCUUUAGUCUGUUCGGUGCUAAUACAGUUGGACCAAAUGCCGAGUUCAGAACAUGAGGGUUAAAACAAUGACAAACUCUAAAGAUCCGCCCAAAGCUCUCAGUUCCAACAGUGCACAAUAUCUCUUUUUUUUUCAGGAAGUCCAGCUUCUCGAUCUGUGGAGUUUCUCAAAAUUUUCUUUGCAGAUGGAAAACAGUGAAACUCUGAAGGAUAAGGAUGGGGAUUUCAGCCUUAUACACUCCAUUCACACUACUACAACACUAUACUGGUUGUUAGCUUUGCACUUUGCAGCUGAAAAAAGAAGGCAACUGGUGGCGGAAGAAACAACACCCAAGAGUGGGCAAUUUACUUUCCUGGAUUGAUUCAAUCUAAGCACAAGUACAUUAGCAUGCCCUGUUAAGGAGAGUGUGAAGCUCUAUGCUAACAGCUUUUAAUUUGCUCAGCUAGCCAGGAGCCGAGAUGCAAUUCCAUAGAGAUUGUAAGCCAAAUUAAAGCUGCAGGGAAGUAAGGAAUUCAUAGUAGCUGUUGAAGACUUCGAUCAUAUGUUUUCAUAGCAAUUGAAGACCUUAGUUGAAGACCUUAUCUGUUCUGUUUGAGCUCAGGCACUUUUUUACCAUAAUUGACUAUGGUUAACUUUGCUAAGAGUUGUAUUACCUUUAUGGCUUUCAAAUUGUUGUUCACUAGGUGUUUAUUUGUUUUCACUUGUACAAACUCCAUUUUCUUUGAGUUUAAUACAAUUUCACAACAAAAAAUAGAACUCAUUG